UGAUAAAAUUGAAAAAUUUCACAAAUGUCAGGAGAACAAGAUCUGGUGUCUGGGUUUCAACUCUUAGAGCUUCCCAGCUCGUAGCUAUGCUCCUGAAUUCCUCUGGCAGCCCUCCUCAAGGACCUCUGUGAGACAAAGUCAGAAAUGACUUCACUGGAGACCAAGAGAGCCCACAGAGCUCUUCCUGCUGCUUCUUCUACCCUUGUACUCACUCGGCUCUCUAAAUUUGUCUCAGCUCCAGACACGUGGGAAGAUUACCUUUCUCUGAUGUCUUGGGAUUGAACUGAGCUAUGUGGCUAGUUACAGGCCAAUAGGCUGUUAGCAGAUGUGACAUCUAACACAACUAGGCUGCAGUUUGAAAUAAAUACCAGUGCACAGCCUCCAGAAUUCCUCCCCUGCUAAGGUGACUGAGAAGACCUCAGCUGAGAUGGUGGGAAAAAAAAAUAUUCAAGCAGCUUGGAUAACGAAGUUCCUAAAUGGAAGAACAUUGUCCCAGAGAGUCACUUGAACCCAGAAUAGAUUUACGUGAUCAGACAAUAAACCUCUAUGACACCCUGA
rnacentral:lncRNA from 1 species